UGGAAGCACAAGCUUAGCAGAUCGGAGCGCAACCUUUUCUUGGUAGCCAUUGUAACAAACCCACGCUAUACCAGCACUUUGAUCAGCCACUCUCCACGAACCAUCUACCAUGAACUUGUCUUCCUGAAAAUCCAAAUUGUGCUAAAGAAAUUACAUCCUCCACCAAUCUUUCCUUAAAUGAAGAACUAUGAAGUUCCUUGGCUAAGGCAAUGGUUUGAUGGCAAUCCAAUGGAUUAUCGCAGGAGGCCACACUAUUUCUCUGUUUCCAAAAAGCCAAAGGAUAGAAAUCAAAAGUUGAUUAUUUUCAUCAUUUUGCACAUCCCUUCUCCAAUUCUCAAGCCAAUCCGUGAAAAUCAUUGGGGCUCCAAAAUUGAAAUCAAGACCUAACGAACUUCCUCUCCAAAUCCGUUGUAAAUCAGGGCAUUGAAAAAACAUAUGUUCCAGAUUCUCAUCCGCUGCUGAACAUCUAGGACAUCCAACAUAGUGAAUAAUAUAUAUGUAAUUUAUUAUGUCUAAUCAAUUUAAUAUUUUUGCAUA